CAGAAAUCCCUGCUCUCCUGCGCCUGACUCCUACACCUCUCACCGAGACGCACCUUAUCACAGAGCUACUACGAAAUCAGACAGAGAAAACAUUGUCCUUGACGGACAGCCUAAUGAAGCAAGCAAUGGAAUCCAUCAGGUUGUGUGAGUCCGACAGCCAGCCAGCAUCCUACACAGACCAACAUCAGAGACAGCACUGCCUUAUCCUCAUUUCAAGACCUCAGACUGAGAGGCAGAAGGCCAAUUCAUGGCCACAUGUUUUAGAUUUUGGAGCUGAAUGACUCACCUGGUUGUUGGCG